rnacentral:lncRNA from 1 species
CGCGCGGCGAGAAGCGCCCGGACUUGGGGCCAAAGGGACAGCAGAGCGGGGCGCGACCCCAGCGCGGUGGCGCGGCCACCCGAGUCGUCCCCGCGCACGGCGCAAACGACCCUCGGCGGUGGCCCCCCGGCCCAGGGCUGGCACGCACGGGCAGGCGAACCCAGGGCUAACUCUACAACUUGCGGCGCCGCUGCCCGGACCCCGAGUUCCCGGGGUGAUCAGGACCCGGGAGGAGAGGCCGGAGGAAGCCUCUCGGGUCCCAGCAGCUCGCGUGAGCUGGGGAACCCCUUCUGUUCUGUUUUUUUUUUUUUUUUCCUUCCUCUUCUUUCUCGCCCGCCCCACGGAUGGCUGGCCAUGGUUUCAGGGCCCAGAGGCAGCGAGGGGACCGAGUUGGCCCGGAGAGCACCGGGUAGGCACCCCGUAAAAAACGUGGAGUACUCGGAGAGGAAAACUAGGAAGGAGACCUGAGGAGCGCCCGCUCAAGCUCCCUGGACGGACGUAGGACCCAGGAGCAGGGUUUAUCUUCUGCUGCUUUGUCACUGCGAAACCUCCAGCGGAGUCUGCCAGCCAAUCUACACCAUCCCCGGGAAGGAUCUGACCCAGCUAGACAAGGCAAAAGGAACAGGGCUGCUACUUUUUCAGCAGCUCUCCUCGGUUCGGCAUCCGAGUAAGAAAUAACAAUUACAUCACGAGGCCGGGGCGUCUGCGCUGCGAAGAAGCCUCUAGGUUUCCUGCAGCCUGAUCUCGCUGAACCCGCCUCUAAAUUGGGGGGAGAGGGGGCUACGGAUUGGUGAAGCGAGAAAGUGGAGGGAGGAGAGAAUCUUAAGAAACCAUAAUUUCCUCUUCUCCUUGUAUUUGCAGUUUUAAAAAUCGUAUCCUCAGCGCCCCCCAAAAUCUAAGUAGAACUAUUAACACCACCCCCCAACACCUCCCAGAUGUCAGGUUUCUUUUUGACGCUAACAUCUAGCAUUUGGUAGCUCGCCAUGAAAAAAAUUACCCGGGGAAAUGACUUCCGUUGCCGAAAUUGUUUUUGCUUGACACCAAAACGAUAAAGUACAGCUUAGUCUCACCCCAAACUCUGAAAUGGCAUGCCUGUGUUAAAACACUUACUAGAGGAGACAAACGAGUGGAUGAGGCGCUCCAUUCUUAAUAGGUGUUCAUAUCCUUAAGCAUUUGGUAGCAUUCGGAAAUAAAGAGUUGCUAGUGCACUUAAAAAACA